ACAAGGUUUCGUUAGGUGACCGUAGGAUAGUUUCAUUGUUGAGCAGAGCAUGGAAUGAUGGGAUGUUUGUGAAGGUGUGAUUGUUUUCCUUUCCUCGCACCCCAAUGCCUUGGCGGCGCGAGAUUGGCCAUGUAUCCGGUGCGACCAUGGACAAACUAAGGAACUAUUGGACUCGGAGGGCAGAGGGCCCCUUGGCGUGCGCAGGGAGGCCUAUGUGUCUGAUAUUCCUCGGAAUCAAUCAUAUGACUCUCUGCAGAUGGUAUAUCUCUUCUCUUGCAUCGAUGAAGAACGUAGUAGAAUAAUGCGAUACUAUGGUGUGAAUUGCAGAGUAAUCUCGUGAGCCAUUGAUUGUUUGAACGCACUUGUUGUGCCGAGAGGCUCUGUCUGGAGGACGGCACUGCGUGCUUGGUAGUGAUGGCGCCGCCUCCUCUGUUCUCCAUGUAUUAUAUGGUGACGAGCGAGUGAAUAAAUUGCGCCCUGGUGCUUCCGUCGCACUCAGUCGGCUAAGGACGGGCGUGGUGGCAAUCAUUGGUCGGGCAGCGACGGUUGUUGGUCGCCGCGGGCACGGAACCAGAAGCGUCGCCCCGGUCGGUUUGGGACGAGCCCUCAAUAGAGACCCUGUGCUGAUUGUGAGCGUCGGGUGAAAGUGCCGUGUCGCAUCAACUUGUCGUCUCACUCAGUCAGACACACGACCAGUUUAGCAUAUC
rnacentral:rRNA from 1 species